CCUACGGGGGGCUGCAGUGGGGAAUAUUGGACAAUGGGCGAAAGCCUGAUCCAGCCAUGCCGCGUGUGUGAAGAAGGCCUUCGGGUUGUAAAGCACUUUCAGUGGGGAAGAAAGCCUUGGGGCUAAUACCCUCGAGGAAGGACAUCACCCACAGAAGAAGCACCGGCUAACUCCGUGCCAGCAGCCGCGGUAAUACGGAGGGUGCGAGCGUUAAUCGGAAUUACUGGGCGUAAAGCGCGCGUAGGCGGUCUGAUAAGCCGGUUGUGAAAGCCCCGGGCUCAACCUGGGAACGGCAUCCGGAACUGUCAGGCUAGAGUGCAGGAGAGGAAGGUAGAAUUCCCGGUGUAGCGGUGAAAUGCGUAGAGAUCGGGAGGAAUACCAGUGGCGAAGGCGGCCUUCUGGACUGACACUGACGCUGAGGUGCGAAAGCGUGGGUAGCAAACAGGAUUAGAUACCUAGUGUC
rnacentral:rRNA from 1 species